rnacentral:rRNA from 1 species
UACGGAGGAGGCAAGCGUUGUUCGGAGUUACUGGGCGUAAAGCGCGGGCAGGCGGCUCUGUAAGUCUGAUGUGAAAGCGCCCGGCUCAACCGGGCGAGGCCAUUGGAAACUGGAGAGCUGGAGGGCAGUAGAGGCAGGCGGAAUUCCGGGUGGAGUGGUGAAAUGCGUAGAGAUCCGGAGGAACACCAGAGGCGAAGGCGGCCUGCUGGGCUGCACCUGACGCUGAACCGCGAAAGCCAGGGGAGCGAACGGG